rnacentral:rRNA from 1 species
GUGCCAGCCGCCGCGGUAAUACAGAGGGUGCGAGCGUUGUCCGGAAUCACUGGGCGUAAAGGGCGCGUAGGUGGCGGGAUAAGCGUGCGGUGAAAGCCCGGGGCUCAACCCCGGGUCGGCCGUGCGGACUGUCUUGCUCGAGCAUAGUAGAGGCAGGUGGAAUUCCGGGUGUAGCGGUGGAAUGCGUAGAGAUCCGGAAGAACACCGGUGGCGAAGGCGGCCUGCUGGGCUAUUGCUGACACUGAGGCGCGACAGCGUGGGGAGCAAACAGGAUUAGAAACCCCUGUAGUCC